rnacentral:rRNA from 1 species
UACGGGGGGGAGCAAGCGUUUGUUCGGAUUUACUGGGCGUAAAGGGCGCGUAGGCGGUCAGCACAAGUCAGUUGUGAAAUCUCUGGGCUUAACUCGGAAAGGUCAACUGAUACUGUGCGACUAGAGUGCAGAAGGGGCAACUGGAAUUCUCGGUGUAGCGGUGAAAUGCGUAGAUAUCGAGAGGAACACCUGCGGCGAAGGCGGGUUGCUGGGCUGACACUGACGCUGAUGCGCGAAAGCCAGGGGAGCGAACGGG